CCAAGGAUGAGGCCGCGACCGAUCAGGUUGUUGGUGAGGUAAUGGCUCACCAAGCCUUUUACCGGUGCGGGCCGUGAGAGCGGGAGCCCGGAGAUGGGCACUGAGACAAGGGCCCAGGCCCUACGGGGCGCAGCAGUCGCGAAAACUUUGCAAUACACGAAAGUGUGACAGGGCUAUCCCGAGUGCCAUCCGCUGAGGAAGGCUUUUACCCAGUCUAGAACGCUGGGGGAAUAAGGAGAGGGCAAGUCUGGUGUCAGCCGCCGCGGUAAUACCAGCUCUUCGAGUGGUGUGGAUGUUUAUUGGGCCUAAAGCAUCCGUAGCUGGCUGAGUUAGUCCCCUGUUAAAUCCACCGAAUUAAUCGUUGGAUUGCGGGGGAUACUGCUCGGCUAGGGGACGAGAGAGGCAGGCGGUAUUUCCGGGGUAGGGGUGAAAUCCUAUAAUCCCGGGAAGACCACCAGUGGCGAAGGCUGUCUGCUAGAACGCGCCCGACGGUGAGGGAUGAAAGCUGGGGGAGCGAACCGGAUUAGAUACCCGGGUAGUCCCAGCUGUAAACGAUGCAGACUAGGUGUUUGGACGGCCACGUGCCGUUCUAGUGCCGCAGGGAAGCUGUUAAGUCUGCCGCCUGGGGAGUACGAUCGCAAGAUUGAAACUUAAAGGAAUUGGCGGGGGAGCACA
rnacentral:rRNA from 1 species